CGAGUGGCGAACGGGUGAGUAACGCGUAGGUGAUCUACCUUUUGGUUGGGGAUAUACCGUGGAAACACGGGGUAAUACCGAAUGAUGUCGUAUUCCUUGGGGGAAACGAUUAAAGGGGCUACGGCCUCGCCUGAAGAUGAGCCUGCGUUUGAUUAGCUAGUUGGUGGGGUAAAGGCCUACCAAGGCGUCGAUCAAUAGCCGGCCUGAGAGGGCGGUCGGCCACACUGGGACUGAGAUACGGCCCAGACUCC
rnacentral:rRNA from 1 species